ACACCUCAACUCUCAUGGUUCGCCGUGAUGAGCUUGGACUUUGGGGGUCUUGCUGGCACGCUGCCGGCUCCUCUCAAAUGAAUCAGCUUGCCAGUGUUUGGUGGCGUCACGGGUGUGAUAACUAUCUACGCUCGUGGUCUCCCACCAGGUAACCUUCAGCAAUGGAGGUUCGCUGGAGCUCACAGACGUCUCUCCUCAGCGAAGACAGCUUUUUGAAC
rnacentral:misc_RNA from 1 species